GACGAACGCUGGCGGCGUGCUUAACACAUGCAAGUCGAACGGAAAGGCCCUGCUUUUGUGGGGUGCUCGAGUGGCGAACGGGUGAGUAACACGUGAGUAACCUGCCCUUGACUUUGGGAUAACUUCAGGAAACUGGGGCUAAUACCGGAUAGGAGCUCCUGCUGCAUGGUGGGGGUUGGAAAGUUUCGGCGGUUGGGGAUGGACUCGCGGCUGAUCACCUUGUUGGUGGGGUAGUGGCUUACCAAGGCUUUGGCGGGUAGCCGGCCUGAGAGGGUGACCGGCCACAUUGGGACUGAGGUACGGCCCAGACUCCUACGGGAGGCAGCAGUGGGGAAUAUUGCACAAUGGGCGGAAGUCUGAUGCAGCAACGCCGCGUGCGGGAUGACGGCCUUCGGGUUGUAAACCGCUUUCGCCUGUGACGAAGCGUGAGUGACGGUAAUGGGUAAAGAAGCACCGGCUAACUACGUG
rnacentral:rRNA from 1 species